UUGAUCCCACAAGCUUGUGCGAUAAGUCGGUGUGUUACAGGUGUCUCCAGUUCAGAGCUAAGGAACCUGAGACUUGCACAGGAGAAAUCACCUGAGGUGCAGUAGCUAGUACGUGGUGAGGCUGCUACUCAGGGCUUGUGAUUUCUCACCUUUGUCCACUGCCCUCUUCCAGCCCUCCUCACGAGAGAAAGAAAUGGGUCAGAGAGAUUCCACACCAGAGCAAGAGAUUGCCAAGAAGAUGAACCCACUCACUCAUGAUCCCACCUGCCCGCUUCCAUCUGCAGAACCCGGAUGGGAAGACCCAUCCCAGCAGGGUUCAUGUGAAGAGAGAGAUCACAAGUAGGCAGAGAGAC